rnacentral:rRNA from 1 species
GACGAACGCUGGCGGCGUGCUUAAGACAUGCAAGUCGAACGGAAAGGCCCUGCUUUUGUGGGGUGCUCGAGUGGCGAACGGGUGAGUAACACGUGAGUAACCUGCCCUUGACUUUGGGAUAACUUCAGGAAACUGGGGCUAAUACCGGAUAGGAGCUCCUGCUGCAUGGUGGGGGUUGGAAAGUUUCGGCGGUUGGGGAUGGACUCGCGGCUUAUCAGCUUGUUGGUGGGGUAGUGGCUUACCGAGGCUUUGACGGGUAGCCGGCCUGAGAGGGUGACCGGCCACAGUGGGACUGAGAUACGGCCCAGACUCCUACGGGAGGCAGCAGUGGGGAAUAUUGCACAAUGGGCGGAAGCCUGAUGCAGCAACGCCGCGUGCGGGAUGACGGCCUUCGGGUUGUAAACCGCUUUCGCCUGUGACGAAGCGUGAGUGACGGUAAUGGGUAAAGAAGCACCGGCUAACUACGUG